AGUCUUCUGGUGGCACUAUUUCUUGCCUCUUCCCUGAUAGAUUUCAGGAUGUGGUUGGUGCUUCCAACUCUUGAAGGGCAAGAGGGAGGAGAGUGGAUUGUCAUUGAUUUUGAAAGCUCAAUCUGUUGGAUAAAGUUGAUCGAGUACAGUAGUGUCACACCUGUGCCCGAAGCUGACACAGGUGGGUGUGUUGAUUUCGGGGAUAGGAGCCUAAUGAUCAACUAUAAACAAUGAUAUCUGCAAAGUCUGAUGCGGGGACACAUCAAUAAUGGGAGGUAAUUUCAUUUUUUUUUUGUAACACUGCUUUCAUGUGUUACAGUGUAUCAUCAGUUUAUUACAUUUUGGUAGAGGAAAUAUUGAUCUAGAAAGCUGGGGUGG